GAAACUGAAAGCAGUAAGAUCAUAAAAAGCCAGGGUUUCGUGAGUUAGCGAAUAAGUACAUUAUUCAGUUUAAAAAAUAUUUCCACACUAUAUUUUUUCCAACGAAGGGGUUUAUGCGGAGCUGACAACACAAAUCUCAUUGACUACUUGUCUCGAAUAUGAUAAUUUUUGCAUACUAAGGGUAUUAUGGAGCCAGAGGAGGAUUCCAGCUGUCCGAGUUACCAUCGAUCGGUUAAGGGUCACUGGUGCGGGUGCAACGACGGGCUCUGUAAUGUAUGCUUGCCCUUGUCCGCUGGCAGAGGAAAUUUUCUGUCGUUCAAUAUCUAACUUACAAUAACGGGAAAAGGGCCUUCAGCCUGGUCGUCACCGAAGUGCUUCGCUCCGAAUAUUUACCACGAUAAGGAGCAGUGUGUUAUCGUCGUCCCGUCGUGCACUUCCUUCAACUAAAUCCCAGGGAAAAACCUGCUGAGGUGCCCUAUCAUUAUUAACAGCGACUGGCAUUGCGGAACGUGCUUGAACACUAGUCGCGAGGCUACAGUGUCUUGGAUUGCGUACGAACAGCGCAGCACUCGUGAUGAUUCGGACAGAAGAAGGCACCAACCGCCUUCGAUGCCUUCACUUGAACAAGUUUGGGAAACUGGGCAGGGGAAGUGACAGAUCGUAUUCAGCCUGUAGCCCAGGAAGACUAAAGCUUUUUUCUGCCUUUUCUCAGCAUAAAAUUUCAAUAAUCCGAUCAAUAUUAAUUUCACUUCAUUACUUUGGCUAUUUCGAUUGCCCUGUCGCCUCUUCUGGCGCUGACUGGCUUCGUGCUUGAUGACCUCACCAAAGCGUUGUUGCUACGUUUCAAAUUGUUUGUCUGUUGGUGGGACCAUAGCUGACCCUACCAACAGACGCGCAUAAAGAACGCUGCGAAAUAUUACAGAUUCAUUACGAAAUUACCACUCAUGGGCAUCUGCGUUGGAACAGUUAUAGAGAACUGUUAGUUUAACUAAUGUCGCCUGAUCUGCUUGUGACCGUGACGUAAAGAGCUGCUUGAUGGCGUUCGUUGGUUCUUUAAGAAAGAUUCGGUUUGACACAUCAUUAAGAAGAUUUGAAAAAUGAUUGCAGGCAGACGCGACGCUUGCAAACCCCUGGCUUACUAAAGUUUUUCCAAUGUGCUAAGUUAACUUCCGUUCACCACAUUAGUCAAUGCAUUAAAAAGUAUGCUAUGAACGUACUAGAGUAAUUAUUGCUAUAUCUU